GGGUUAUCCGUAAUCAGCAUCCUCUUUCACAAGAUCCAUGAGUUUAAUUAGCACAAAAAAAUUUUUUUGUUAAUAAUAAUAAUAGAAAACAGUUCAACAUAUCUGAAAAUAAAAUAUACAAUUAUUUGAAACAAUAUGAAAUUAAGAGCAAAGUAUAGUGAUAAAAGGCUGUGUAAUGUUUUAGAGUUUAAUAUUUAGAAAGUAACAAAAUGUCCUUUCAGUUUGUCUGAUACAAAUACAUUGUGUAUACAUCAAUCUCUUGUUCUGAUUCUGUUUGAUGAGUGCAUUUGAUGGCUCAUCAGAUUUUUUUGGUAAAUUGAGUGGAUUUAUUUUGAGAAUACUCGAAGUGCACAGUAUGACACUGCACCCCACAUUAUCACGGACAGCUUUGGAAAAGUACUAGUUUGCAGCAACGUCACUCACAUGAGAAGAUACUGUAGCUCUGUGCAUCAAACAGUGUCAGGUCUAGGAUAUGAUAAGCUUUGAUACCAUAAAGACUGGAACUGCAAGCCUAGCUACAUAGU
rnacentral:misc_RNA from 1 species